AUGACUACGCGGAUUCGCCGAGUACCACGAUAUUCGGAGCCCUCGGAUACGUCAAGUUCAACUACCGUCGCAAGAACGAGACCGGCAAGUCCGAAGACCCUAAGUACCACGACAACCCUGAAGGGAUUCGAAUUCGUCAAGUUCACCUUCGAAACGUGUACCACUACUGCCGCCCGAACAUCUACAGAACAUGUACCACAACUUUCGCACGACGACCCGCGAACAACCCAUCUAACUGGUCGUGGAGGCAAGAACUUGUUCGACAUACUUUCAUUCCUCCUGAUGCUGAAGCAAUAUUGA
rnacentral:rRNA from 1 species